UAGAUUUCAUCUUCUGCUAUGGUUUUCUCUCUCCCCUCUCCCCUUUUCCUUCUCCCUUCUCCUACUGGGAAACCCUUCAAAGCUUUAUCAGGCUCAUUGCCUAAACCUGUCCACCAGGAAAGUCAAGUAACUGGGUCUCUCCCUCACAGAGGCUGUUCCUGCUAACUCCUGCUGCUUGCUAUUCCUGCUACUGAUGAAAGAGUGUUGGAGAUGGAAUGGACUGCAACCUUGUGACUUUUGAAGAGUUGGAAGAGCUGCGGAGGAAGUUGAGGGAAGAGUCCAAGAACUGGAGUUCAUAUGAGUUUAUCUACAACUGAGCCAUUUUUUAAAUAUAUGAAGAAAGAAGAAGGAAGGAGGAAGAGGAAAAAAGAAAGAAAAGGAGGAUCAGGAGGAGGAGGGGAAGGAGGAAGAGGAAGAGGAGAAGAAGAAAGAAGAAAAAGUAGAGGAGGAAAAGGAGGGUAAAGAAGGGGAAGAGAAAGGGAAGAGAAGAAGUGGUAGAAAAGUGAAUGUUGUGUGUUCAUUUUGAGUCUUUUUACUUGUAGUCAUGGCACUGGAAUUGUCUUAUAUAGUAAGGUUCCUAUAAUUAACUUUUCCACUAGUACAAACUGAAAAAUUAGAGGAAAAAAAUCAAAAUACUUAAGUAAAAAUGUGAAAUUGCCUAUACAUAUUUCUAACAAAGUGGGAAACUGUCUCAUUUUUUCUUUUUUGUUUGACCAGAACAUUAUCUGUAGCUAUUUUCUUUUUCCUGAAAGCACAAUUCAACAUUAAGCAAAAUACCCUGAGAUUGCUGGGACAGAGUACUCGGUAUCCAUGCUGGCUAGAUCCAGAUUGACAAG
rnacentral:lncRNA from 1 species